rnacentral:rRNA from 1 species
GUAGGUGGCAAGCGUUGUCCGGAAUUAUUGGGCGUAAAGCGCGCGCAGGCGGUUCUUUAAGUCUGAUGUGAAAGCCCACGGCUCAACCGUGGAGGGUCAUUGGAAACUGGAGAACUUGAGUACAGAAGAGGAAAGCGGAAUUCCACGUGUAGCGGUGAAAUGCGUAGAGACGUGGAGGAACACCAGUGGCGAAGGCGGCUUUCUGGUGUGUAACUGACGCUGAGGCGCGAAAGCGUGGGGAGCAAACAGGGAUUAGAUACCCUGGUAGUCCACGCCGUAAACGAUGAGUGCUAGGUGUUAGGGGGUUUCCGCCCCCUUAGUGCUGCAGCUAACGCAUUAAGCACUCCGCCUGGGGAGUACGGCCGCAAGGCUG